rnacentral:rRNA from 1 species
UACAGAGGGGGCAAGCGUUGUUCGGAAUUACUGGGCGUAAAGGGCGCGUAGGCGGCCUGUUAAGUCGAACGUGAAAUCCCCGGGCUCAACCCGGGAACUGCAUCCGAUACUGGAUGGCUUGAAUCCGGGAGAGGGAUGCAGAAUUCCAGGUGUAGCGGUGAAAUGCGUAGAUAUCUGGAGGAAUACCGGUGGCGAAGGCGGCAUCCUGGACCGGCAUUGACGCUGAUGAGCGAAAGCCAGGGGAGCAAACGGG